UGAAAUCUGGCUCUCGGGCCCGAGUUGUAAUUUGUAGAGGAUACUUUUGAUGCGGUGCCUUCCGAGUUCCCUGGAACGGGACGCCAUAGAGGGUGAGAGCCCCGUCUGGUUGGAUGCCAAAUCUCUGUAAAGUUCCUUCGACGAGUCGAGUAGUUUGGGAAUGCUGCUCUAAAUGGGAGGUAUAUGUCUUCUAAAGCUAAAUACCGGCCAGAGACCGAUAGCGCACAAGUAGAGUGAUCGAAAGAUGAAAAGCACUUUGAAAAGAGAGUUAAAAAGUACGUGAAAUUGUUGAAAGGGAAGCGUUUAUGACCAGACUUGGGCUUGGUUAAUCAUCUGGGGUUCUCCCCAGUGCACUUUUCCAGUCCAGGCCAGCAUCAGUUUUCGCCGGGGGAUAAAGACUUCGGGAAUGUGGCUCUCUUCGGGGAGUGUUAUAGCCCGUUGUGUAAUACCCUGGCGGGGACUGAGGUUCGCGCAUCUGCAAGGAU
rnacentral:rRNA from 1 species